GGGGAUGUGGUUCAGUGGUAGAACACUUAACCUAGUAUAUCUAAGGCCCUGGGUUCAAUCCCUAGCAUCCCCC
rfam:Ictidomys tridecemlineatus contig007745, whole genome shotgun sequence.